GGAGUAUUUCAUCCGUACACUGUCAUUAAUACCAAAACCUACAUGACAAGAUUAAUCUCACAAUAAAAGGAUCCCAACCCCUUGUGUUUUCCAUCAUGCCAUGUCUCUUGUUUUAAAGGUGGAAAAACUGAAGUAGAAACGUGACUCUAGUCCAAAGAGCUGGUGGAAGUCAAAGCCAGGAUUAACAUUCUCUUACCACUGCUGUCCUUAACUGGAGCAUCUGGUAGUCUUUCAGAGUAACUGUUUUUUGUGAAGCUGGCAGGCAGUUAAAAUGAAAGGAUCUGAGUGAAGAAGGAACAGUGGAGAAAGGACAGGUAAUACAGAUGUGCAUUCCCUUUUUGUUAACAAAUGGAAACACGGGGGAUUUAUUUAUGGUGUAGUGUAGCCCAGCUGUAUUCUGCCUCCUUGCUCAGUUGCUGCUGUCUCAUUUUCCCUCAUGGUUUCCUUACUAAGUUGGUGCAGUGCUUUGUGCAUUUCCUUCUCACUUAUAAAAAAGCAGCAUUUUUUUCCCACAAGAUACAGCAGAACUGAGCAGGACACACCUGCUUACAACUUCAGUGAAGCCUCAGUCCUUCGGAGUCACCUGAACCUGUGCUAACAGCAAGAACAAAGCUGGCUUUCUUCAGCCAGCAGAUGGCUACACGGAAAGCAGUUUUGCAGCGAGCAGAGGCAGGCAGCGUUUUCCCUGGGCUGGGACUUCAGGUUAGGAGGAGAUAUUUCAAUCAAACAAAAUUAAUCAUCCUACUGCUGCAGCACAUGAGCAAACGUGGUGUGUACAAGGUAAGAACGGAGCUGUUUUUACACCAAGAAGUAGCCUGGCUUACUUUGAUGAUCCCCAGGAAUCAACCAAGGAGCAUCCAAGCCUUUUCUAUGGGAGGAAAAUACUUGCUGAGAGAGAUGACCUCCUCAAGACUUUCCCUAAUAUCAUCAGUUCCCAUUCCCUCUGCGUAUUUUGUUUCCUUUAGUCCUGCCCUCACUGCUUUCCUUUUCCCUCCCCAAAAAAACCCAGUGCUUAUGGAAACUGGCCAAAACCAAUUGGCUAGAGCAAGAAUUUCAUCCUGGAAGCUUCCUUGCAGGAGGCAAAGAAACGUCCAUGCUUGUGCUGAAUGA
rnacentral:lncRNA from 1 species